GGUGUGGUAACUCAGUUGGUAGAGUGGCAGACUGAAAAUCUGCUGGUCGCCGGUUCAAGUCCGGCCCGCACCA
rnacentral:tRNA from 1 species